AUACGUAGGGAGCGAGCGUUGUCCGGAAUUACUGGGUGUAAAGGGAGCGUAGGCGGGACUGCAAGUCAGAUGUGAAAUGUCGGGGCUCAACCCCGGAACUGCAUUUGAAACUGACGUUCUUGAGUAUCGGAGAGGCAGGGGGGAUUUCUUGGGGAGCGGUGAAAUGCGUAGAUAUUAGGAGGAACACCAGUGGCGAAGGCGGCCUGCUGGACGACAACUGACGCUGAGGCGCGAAAGCGUGGGGAGCAAACAGGAUUAGAUACCCUGGUAGUCCACGCUGUAAACGAUGAAUACUAGGUGUGGGGGGACUGACCCCUUCCAUGCCGGAGUAAACACAAUAAGUAUUCCACCUGGGGAGUACGGCCGCAAGGUUGAAACUCAAAUGAAUUGACGGGG
rnacentral:rRNA from 1 species